rnacentral:rRNA from 1 species
UACGUAGGGUCCGAGCGUUGUCCGGAAUUAUUGGGCGUAAAGGGCUCGUAGGCGGUUUGUUGCGUCGGGAGUGAAAACUUACAGCUUAACUGUGAGCGUGCUUCCGAUACGGGCAGACUUGAGGUAUUCAGGGGAGAACGGAAUUCCUGGUGUAGCGGUGAAAUGCGCAGAUAUCAGGAGGAACACCGGUGGCGAAGGCGGUUCUCUGGGCAUUACCUGACGCUGAGGAGCGAAAGUGUGGGGAGCGAACAGG